ACUCCUACGGGAGGCAGCAGUAGGGAAUUUUCCACAAUGGGCGAAAGCCUGAUGGAGCAACGCCGCGUGCAGGAUGAAUGUCUUCGGAUUGUAAACUGCUUUUAUCUGUGACGAAUAUGACGGUAGCAGAUGAAUAAGGAUCGGCUAACUCCGUGCCAGCAGCCGCGGUAAU
rnacentral:rRNA from 1 species